rnacentral:misc_RNA from 1 species
GAUGAAGAACGUAGCGAAAUGCGAUAAGUAAUGUGAAUUGCAGAAUUCAGUGAAUCAUCGAAUCUUUGAACGCACAUUGCGCCCGCUAGUAUUCUGGCGGGCAUGCCUGUCCGAGCGUCAUUUCAACCCUCAAGCCCCCGGGCUUGGUGUUGGGGAUCGGCGAGCCUCCGCGCCCGCCGUCCCCUAAAUCUAGUGGCGGUCUCGCUGUAGCUUCCUCUGCGUAGUAGCACACCUCGCACAGGGAAACAGCGCGGCCACGCCGUUAAACCCCCAACUUCUGAACGUUUGACCUCGGAUCAGGUAGGAAUACCCGCUGAACUUAAGCAUAUCAAUAAGCGGAGGA